UACGUAGGGACCGAGCGUUGUCCGGAAUCAUUGGGCGUAAAGAGCGUGUAGGCGGCUAUUUAAGUCCUGCGUGAAAUCCUGCGGCUCAACCGCAGACGGUCGUGGGAAACUGGAUGGCUAGAGUGCGGGAGAGGAGAGUGGAAUUCCCGGUGUAGCGGUGAAAUGCGCAGAUAUCGGGAGGAACACCGGUGGCGAAGGCGGGUCUCUGGGCCGAUAUUGACGCUGAGGAGCGAAAGCGUGGGGAGCGAACAGG
rnacentral:rRNA from 1 species